rnacentral:tRNA from 1 species
GUCUCUGUGGCGCAAUCGGUUAGCGCGUUCGGCUGUUAUCUGAAAGGUUGGUGGUUCAAGCCCACCCAGGGACG